AUCUGAUGCCCCUUCCUGGAGAGAGACUUCGGUGAGAGACUGGGGGCUUGGAGGUCCAUGCCGGAAAGCACUGGGGAGCUGGCUAGGACACAAGCUCAGGAUGUCUCUGUAGUGGCAAAGUUUGAAAUGGGAAAAGUGAUCCAGCAUCUUAAGAAGCUGAGUCAAAAAGCCAAGCCUCUCACCUAAGCAGUGAUUUUUAAGCAAUUCAAACCAGUUUAAUCAAUCCCCAAAUGAUGGAAAAUCGAUAUUACACCUAUCAGUCAGUUCAGGAAGCCAGAAGUCACUUGACUCCUUCUGCUGUUUUUACAACCCAUAGGAAUGAAACGGGACUGGAUGCAAGUUUCAGAAGGACAAUUCUGGCAUUGAUUCCUGGAGGGCACUGGUAUGAGUAUUGAGAAGGCUGUUUUCAUGCCACCCCAAGUCACGAUAUGUGCAGCGCGUUUCAUCCAUCUCUACUCAGAAGUCCCAGAAUUGUGUGUGUAUGAAUCACUUGAAGCCUGUUAUUUUUUGAGUCACUAAGCCAGC
rnacentral:lncRNA from 1 species